rnacentral:lncRNA from 1 species
GACAUUUUCAGCAUGUUUAAGAUAACUAAAUGACAACUGCGUCUUCAAAACAACUGUUUACUUUCAGUUUGUGUUUAUCGUGACUUUCGAUGUAAAAUCUGGAGACGUUCCGAAAUCCUGCACUUAUGUCAACUCGGCCAAUAUAGAAUAACUCGGCCAAUACAGAAAAAAAAUCUAUAUUGGCCGAGUUAUUCUGUAUUGGCCCAGUUUACACAUUAUAUUGCAUAGGCAGUUUUCAUCAUAUUAAGUCCAAUAACAGUGUAGUUAAUUAAUAA